UUCAUAGGAAAUCUUUAAUCAGGUAUUUAAAGCUAUAACUAUAGCUUAUAUAUUACACUCAGUAGCUCUUAAAAUAAAUCUAACUUGAAUGUAGCUACAUCUUUUCUCCGCCUGCACUUAUUAUUGCUCCGAGUCAGUUGGCUAUUUAUCAACAAUCUUAAUGCAAUUUCAAUGCCUUCAAUUGUGAGGUUAUCGUACGUAUCUUGACUGUAAAUCAAAGCCAUGAAUCUCCAUUGCAUCACCGGCAAAAUAUUUUCCCGCCGGACAACGAUCGUUAAGUGAGCAACUAUUAAUGAGAGAAAGAUCAGAGUGGUGUGGGGGUAAAUGGGGAUCGACUUUUGAGAGAUACUCAAGCGACAAGUCAGUGACAGAUUGUGAGAGUUGAGCUUGACAUUUAGCUGGCAGUUUUUGUGAUUUUUUUUUUUCGUUUUAUUUUCCAACAUAGCCAUCGGGGCGUAUGCGCAAUUUGCAUAUGACAAGCUACAAAACGACUUGAACUGAUGACGAUGCCGCAGUUAAAUGAAUUGGCCCCGCCUCUUAAUUGGUUAAAUACAUUAUUAUAUCAUCCGAUAACUGAUAAACAAAUGGCAAUAAAGUGAACCCUCAAUGGCUUAAAUUAAUUUAACUGAUUGCGAAAAAAGACGAUUAAAAUGCUUUCGGACCUAAAAGUUUCUCAUAUAUUAAUCAAAAAGUAUAUAAAACUUGAAAUAGUUCGCCUGCAGCCUUGACUUUACUUCCUUAACUUUGUAAUAUUUAGCCAACAGCUUAGUUUUUCCCCUUCAAUUAAUAAAUAUUAACGCUUUUUGCCAUGAUUUUCCCCCUAGAGCCAUGCAUUUGUCUACCACUUGGAUCUGGGCGUAUCGGGUUUCGUAAUUGAAUUUCAAUCGGUGAAAGUAAAUGGCAAACUCAAUACUCUCAUACCAACGACCAAGGCAAUCAGACAUCGCAAAAUAUUCCAACCAACCAACCAGCCAGCCACUUUAUGGCCAAAUCGUGAGCGUAUAAACAAAAAUUUGAAAAUAAGUUUUAAACUCAUGCCGAAUGUCCGCUUUGAAUUGCGCAUUUGGGAACAGGUGGCGGAGCAGUGAGGAACACUUCUACGAAAAAUUAUGCAAAUAUUUGGAGUCCAAAAACGGAUCAACAAAAAAGCCACAAGAGUCUCGUGUUACCAUCGCCUACCCUCCGAAGAGUCAUUAGCCCACUUGACCGCAACAAUGAGAAAUCACCUUAACUUCAUAAUGGCUGUGAAGUAAUUUUUAUUAUAUGUAUCUUAACACUUGAAAGUAUGAAAAAAAUAAAAAAAUAUAUAUGCCCUAGAGCGUAAUAUUCGCCAAA